rnacentral:rRNA from 1 species
CAGUAGCCGCGGUAAUACGAAGGGUGCAAGCGUUACUCGGAAUUACUGGGCGUAAAGCGUGCGUAGGUGGUGGUUUAAGUCCGUUGUGAAAGCCCUGGGCUCAACCUGGGAAUUGCAGUGGAUACUGGGUCACUAGGGUGUGGUAGAGGAUAGUGGAAUUUCCGGUGUAGCAGUGAAAUGCGUAGAGAUCGGAAGGAACAUCUGUGGCGAAGGCGACUAUCUGGGCCAACACUGACACUGAGGCACGAAAGCGUGGGGAGCAAACAGGAUUAGAUACCCGAGUAGUCCCUGUCUCUUAUAC